AUUCACAUAGUCUAGCGGUCAAGACACCUUGAAAUCAUAUAACUCGGGCACACUGUGAGAUUUCAUGGAGACGGGAGUUCGAUUCUUCCUGUGAAUG